rnacentral:rRNA from 1 species
UACGUAGGGGGCCAGCGUUGUCCGGAUUCAUUGGGCGUAAAGCGCGUGUAGGCGGCCAGGUAGGUCCGAUGUGAAAUCUGGAGGCUCAACCUCCAGCGGUCAUUGGAAACCAUCUGGCUAGAGUCCGGAAGAGGAGAGUGGAAUUCCUGGUGUAGCGGUGAAAUGCGCAGAUAUCAGGAAGAACACCAAUGGCGAAGGCAGCUCUCUGGGACGGUACUGACGCUGAGGAGCGAAAGCGUGGGGAGCGAACAGG